rnacentral:rRNA from 1 species
AUUGAACGCUGGCGGCAGGCCUAACACAUGCAAGUCGAGCGAGCGGCGGACGGGUGCGUAAUGUCUGGGAAACUGCCUGAUGGAGGGGGAUAACUACUGGAAACGGUAGCUAAUAACGCAUACCAUCAGAUGUGCCCAGAUGGGAUUAGCUAGUAGGUGGGGUAACGGCUCACCUAGGCGACGAUCCCUAGCUGGUCUGCGAGGAUGACCAGCCACGCUGGAACUGAGACACGGACCAGACUCCUACGAGAGGCAGCAGGGGGGAAUAUUACACAAUGGGCGCAAGCCUGAUGCAGCCAUGCCGCGUGUGUGAAGAAGGCCUUCGGGUUGUAAAGCACUUUCAGCGGGGAGGCGUUACCCGCAGAAGAAGCACCGGCUAACUCCGUGCCAGCAGCCGCGUAAUUC